rnacentral:lncRNA from 13 species
UACACAUCUAGAUGUGUAUAAGAGACACCCCCUCCCCCGGCGCCGGGAAUUCCUCCGCGCCGGCCCGGCCGGAUCUCGCCGAGGGGCGGGGAUGCCGCUGGAGCGCCAGCGGCGCGGCCGAAGGAAGAAAGGAAGGAUUGCUCCCGGACCGCAGCCGCGCCGCCGCGCCGCGGGGCUCUCCCGGCCAGCGGGCCCGGAGCAGAGAGGGGACUAUUUCCCGGCGGCGGCGGCGGCGCAGGGAUCCCGGCGGGCGGGGUGUCGCGGCCGCCGGUGGUGUCGCGGCGAGGGGCGGGAGGAGCCGCGGCCGCGCAGGGGCCGAGCGGGGACAGGAGGCGCGGGCCGGGGGCCACGGAGCCGGGCUGAGGGCGGCCACCUCGGGGCCGGGCCCCAGCAGGAAAAGCCGAUGCUCUCACAUCGGUGAAAUCACACGCAAUUCUUCCCAAACUCUGCCCUGGAGGCUGUCUACCCCAAGUUGGCUGGUUGAUUGAUUGAUUGAUUGAUUGAAGAGUGCUAGCAGGAAUACUGCAGCUGCUUUCUCACGUGCUGUCUUCCAGUUAUAGGUUUCAAGAGUUAUCUGCUUUCCAGAUCUGAAUGGCAAUCUUCUGCAUCAGGACAGUUG